UCUCACUCAGCUUUUCUUGAUCAAACAGGCUCAGUGUGUGCUUGGCAUAUUUUCAGGGCGAGAGAGGAAGGCUCUCCUACUGCACAGCAGACCUACCCAAAAUGUUCUUUCUACUCCUUGAAUGUGACAGCU